AUGGUAGGAUAGAGGUCUACCAUGGUGGUAACGGGUAACGGGGUGUUAGGGCACGACACCGGAGAGGGAGCCUGAGAAACGGCUACCACAUCCAAGGAAGGCAGCAGGCGCGCAAAUUACCCAAUCCCGACACGGGGAGGUAGUGACAAUAAAUAACAAUACAGGGCUCUUUUGGGUCUUGUAAUUGGAAUGAGUACAAUUUAAAUCUCUUAACAAGGAACAAUUGGAGGGCAAGUCUGGUGCCAGCAGCCGCGGUAAUUCCAGCUCCAAUAGCGUAUAUUAAAGUUGUUGCAGUUAAAAAGCUCGUAGUUGAAUUUCGGGAUCAAUAUGUCGGUCGUGCCUUCGGUACGUACUGGUAUCAUUGGUCUCUCCUUUCUGACGAACCAUGAUGUCAUUAAUUUGGUGUUAUGGGGAGUUAGGACUGUUACUUUGAAAAAAUUAGAGUGUUUAAAGCAGGCUUUAGCUUGAAUACAUUAGCAUGGAAUAAUGAAAUAGGACGUUCGAACCUAUGUUGUUGGUUUCUAGGAUCAACGUAAUGAUUAAUAGGGAUAGUUGGGGGCAUUAGUAUUCAAUUGUCAGAGGUGAAAUUCUUGGAUUUAUUGAAGACUAACUACUGCGAAAGCAUUUGCCAAGGAUGUUUUCAUUAAUCAAGAACGAAAGUUAGGGGAUCGAAGACGAUCAGAUACCGUCGUAGUCUUAACCAUAAACUAUGCCGACUAGGGAUCGGAUGAUGUUAAUUUUUUAAUGACUCAUUCGGCGCCUUACGGGAAACCAAAG
rnacentral:rRNA from 1 species